UACGUAGGGUGCAAGCGUUAAUCGGAAUUACUGGGCGUAAAGCGUGCGCAGGCGGUUUUGUAAGUCUGACGUGAAAGCCCCGGGCUUAACCCUGGGAAUUGCGUUGGAGACUGCAAGGCUUGAAUCUGGCAGAGGGGGGUAGAAUUCCACGUGUAGCAGUGAAAUGCGUAGAGAUGUGGAGGAACACCGAUGGCGAAGGCAGCCCCCCUGGGUCAAGAUUGACGCUCAUGCACGAAAGCGUGGGGAGCAAACAGG
rnacentral:rRNA from 1 species